AGGGUUUGAUCCUGGCUCAGGAUGAACGCUAGCUACAGGCUUAACACAUGCAAGUCGAGGGGCAGCAUUUUUCUAGCAAUAGAAAAGAUGGCGACCGGCGCACGGGUGAGUAACACGUAUCCAACCUGCCUCAUACUCGGGGAUAGCCUUUCGAAAGAAAGAUUAAUACCCGAUAGUAUAGUCCCACCGCAUGAUGGGGCUAUUAAAGAAUUUCGGUAUGAGAUGGGGAUGCGUUCCAUUAGAUAGUUGGUGGGGUAACGGCCCACCAAGCCUUCGAUGGAUAGGGGUUCUGAGAGGAAGGUCCCCCACAUUGGAACUGAGACACGGUCCAA
rnacentral:rRNA from 1 species